GCCAGACAUGGUGGCAGCACUUAUAGUCCCAGCUAUGUGGGAGGCUGAGGCAGGGGAAUCACUUGAGCCCAGGAGUUCUGGGCUGUAGUGCACCAUGCCAAUCAGGUGUCCAUACCAAGUGCGGCCUCAGUACAGUGACCUCCUGGGAGUGGGGGACCAUCAUGUUGCCUACAGAGGGUAAAAUGGUCUCGGUCAGAAAUGGAACAGGUCAAAACUCCUGUGCUGGUCAGUAGUGGGAUUGUGCCUGUCCAUAGCCACUGCACUGCAGCCUGGACAACAGAGCAAGACCCUGUCUCCU
rfam:Otolemur garnettii contig053694, whole genome shotgun sequence.